UGCAAGUCGACGCUGAAGCUUGGGUGUUUUUCAUCUGGGUGGAUGAGUGGCGAACGGGUGAGUAAUACGUGAGUAACCUGCCCUUGACUCUGGGAUAAGCCUGGGAAACUGGGUCUAAUACUGGAUACUACAUAUCUUCGCAUGGGGGUGUGUGGAAAGGGUUUUACUGGUUUUGGAUGGGCUCACGGCCUAUCAGCUUGUUGGUGGGGUAAUGGCCUACCAAGGCGACGACGGGUAGCCGGCCUGAGAGGGUGACCGGCCACACUGGGACUGAGACACGGCCCAGACUCCUACGGGAGGCAGCAGUGGGGAAUAUUGCACAAUGGGCGAAAGCCUGAUGCAGCGACGCCGCGUGAGGGAUGACGGCCUUCGGGUUGUAAACCUCUUUCAGCACGGAAGAAGCGAAAGUGACGGUACGUGCAGAAGAAGCGCCGGCUAACUACGUGCCAGCAGCCGCGGUAAUACGUAGGGCGCAAGCGUUGUCCGGAAUUAUUGGGCGUAAAGAGCUCGUAGGCGGUUUGUCGCGUCUGCUGUGAAAGCCCGGGGCUUAACCCCGUGGUGUGCAGUGGGUACGGGCAGACUAGAGUGCAGUAGGGGAGACUGGAAUUCCUGGUGUAGCGGUGAAAUGCGCAGAUAUCAGGAGGAACACCGAUGGCGAAGGCAGGUCUCUGGGCUGUUACUGACGCUGAGGAGCGAAAGCAUGGGGAGCGAACAGGAUUAGAUACCCUGGUAGUCCAUGCCGUAAACGUUGGGCACUAGGUGUGGGGGACAUUCCACGUUUUCCGCGCCGUAGCUAACGCAUUA
rnacentral:rRNA from 1 species